GACGAACGCUGGCGGCGUGCUUAACACAUGCAAGUCGAACGGAAGGGCCCUGCUUGCAGGGUACUCGAGUGGCGAACGGGUGAGUAACACGUGGGUGAUCUGCCCUGCACUUCGGGAUAAGCUUGGGAAACUGGGUCUAAUACCGGAUAGGAGCCAUCUUUAGUGUGGUGGUUGGAAAGUUUUUUCGGUGUAGGAUGAGCUCGCGGCCUAUCAGCUUGUUGGUGGGGUAAUGGCCUACCAAGGCGGCGACGGGUAGCCGGCCUGAGAGGGUGUACGGCCACAUUGGGACUGAGAGACGGCCCAGACUCCUACGGGAGGCAGCAGUGGGGAAUAUUGCACAAUGGGCGCAAGCCUGAUGCAGCGACGCCGCGUGGGGGAUGAAGGCCUUCGGGUUGUAAACUCCUUUCGCUAGGGACGAAGCUUUUUUGUGACGGUACCUAGAGAAGAAGCACCGGCUAACUACGUG
rnacentral:rRNA from 1 species